GAUGAAGAACGUAGCGAAAUGCGAUAAGUAAUGUGAAUUGCAGAAUUCCGUGAAUCAUCGAAUCUUUGAACGCACAUUGCGCCCCCUGGUAUUCCGGGGGGCAUGCCUGUCCGAGCGUCAUUGCAACCCUCAAGCGCGGCUUGUGUGUUGGGCUUCGUCCCCCCGUGGACGUGCCCGAAAGGCAGUGGCGGCGUCCCGAAUGGUGCCCGAGCGUAUGGGAACUCUCUUCCGCUCGAACCGGCCCAUUCGGCGCUGGUCGAACCCCAAUUUUUUUUUACCGGUUGACCUCGGAUCAGGUAGGGAUACCCGCUGAACUUAAGCAUAUCAAUAAGCGAGGA
rnacentral:misc_RNA from 1 species